rnacentral:lncRNA from 1 species
UUGGUGCUCUACAAAAGCAAUGGCUAAGAAUUCAAUGGCCAAAAUUGUGGGAAGAGUACCCCAUGGGACGGGUUGGCCCAAAUAUGUAGCUUGCCCUCCGGGAAUGGCAGCCCAUUCUUGGGCCUUUACCCAGUUGCCCAGGCCCAAUGCUUCUGGUACUAGGAUUCCAGGCUGCAAAAACAAUUGAUGAAAUAUUAUAUAUGUUAGAAAUUCACUUGUUCAUUAAAAGAAUCCGAAAACUUUAAAAGGAGUUUGUAAUUUCUUCCCAAACAUUUCAAAUGUUGAACUUGGAAUAUUUCUAGUUUUUUUUUUUUUAAAUCUAAUAAGCAUUUUAUUCAGCUUUCCGAACAGAGUACAUUGAGAUGAGGGAGUACACAAAAAGUCUAAUAUUUCUAGUUAGUGAUCAUAUUAUUUUACUAUAACUCAAUCACAAUAAAAAAAGAUUUGCUCUAGAAAAAAAUGAGUAAUACUGAGCUCCGUUCGAUUACUAUGUUAAUGACCUUAGGGACUUGACCAGGUUAAUUUCGAUUCAUCAUCAAAUAUUAAAUUAUAAUUCUUUAAAUAUCAAAUUAAUUACCUCUAAGUACACAUGGCAACGUACUACUUUAUUCUAACUGUAACUUUCCUUUCCCAUUUCCCCUACUUUAAUAACAAGAGUCUGUAUGCCUUGGCUAAGAUUAUUUGUACUAAUUAUAUUGUUAAAAGUCUCAUGUUUAGAAACAAAAUUUUUACUUAAAAAUAAAACAAGUAAAUAGGAGCUUAGCUUACCACAGCAAGCAUAGCCCAUCUGCAGUGAAUGAGUUCAGACUCCUUGUAUCUCUCCAAGUUCGCUGGUACUUCUCCUAGACCAAGUGGAUCGAAUCCAAA